rnacentral:rRNA from 1 species
GACGAACGCUGGCGGCGUGCUUAACACAUGCAAGUCGAACGGAAAGGCCCUGCUUUUGUGGGGUUCUCGAGUGGCGAACGGGUGAGUAACACGUGAGUAACCUGCCCUUCACUUUGGGAUAACUUCACGAAACUGGGGCUAAUACCGUAUAGGAUCUCCUGUUGCAUGGAGGGGGUUGGAAAGUUUCGGCGGUUGGGGAUGGACUCGCGGCUUAUCAGUUUGUUGGUUGGGUAGGGGCUGACCAAGGAUUUGACGGGUAGCCGGCCUGAGAGGGUGACCGGGGACAUUGGGACUACGAGACGGCCCAGACUGCUACGGGAGGCAGCAGUGGGGAACAUUGCCCAGUGGGCGGAAGCCUGAUGAGAAGACGCCGCGUGCGGGAUGACGGCCUUCGGGUUAUAAAACGCUUUCGCCUGUGACGAAGCGUGAGUGACGGUAAUGGGUAAAGAAGCACCGGCUAACUACGUG